UACUUAAAUCUGCUCUUUGAGGACAAAGUGGGAUUUUUUUUAUUCUCAUUCUUUUCCAUUUAAGAUGGAAUAACAUUGACAUAAUACUGUUGUGGUUUUUGUACUUGACGGCAUUUAGGAGCGGGGACAUUUUUCCACUCCACUGCUGUAUCUGAAUGCUUGUCGUAAAGAUACGCAGGCUUGUUUAUCAAGAAGUGUGCUCUGCUUCCUGGACUAGGACAGUAAAUUCACAGGGAUUUUCUCUACUUAUGACCAUUAAAACUAUGCACAUGACUGAUUCGAAAUGUCCCUGGAGAUACUGACUCUAGUUCGUCGAGAAAAGUGAAUUAUCCUGGAUAAGUGAACUACUGGGACUGGUACAGUAUUGAAUUGGACUUGGACAGCAAGAUAUCAUCUUACAGCCUGCCUCCUUGUCAUUUCUAGAACUCUCCAGUGACUGAGGCCCAAGUAUCUAGAGAAGACGACAGAGGAUUGCGCCAGGAGAAUGGUUGUAAUGACAGAUCACCUGUGGAACUGACUCAUAUGCUUCAGAAGCAGGUCCAAUAUUUUAACCACCUGUUUUUAUGUGGUAAGUGGUACUUUGUAAAAUAAUUACACUUAACAGUUUUUAAAACUUUUGAUUAUAGAAAAAAUGUGCAGUUUGAUGA